CAAAUUGGGCUUUUUCGCCCCAAAAAUGACAUAGAUUCGCCCCAAUCCACCCCAAAAUUCCAAUGUUGGACCCCAAAUCUACAAAUUGGAGCAUCAAACCCCAAAAUUUGACCCCAAACCCCAAAGCUUCAACCCCAAAAAUCCCCCCUAAACCCCCCGCUUCCCAAAAAGAACCCCCAAACGACCCCAAAUUGGGCUUUUCCGCCCCAAAAACGACAUAGAUUUGCUCCAAUCCACCCCAAAAUCCCAAUGUUGGACCCCAAAAUCCCAAAGGUUGACCCCACUCUGCCCAGAAAACCCCAAAAUUGACCCCAAACCCCAAAGUUUCACCCCAAAAUCCCCCCUAAACCCCCCGCUUCCCAAAAAGAACCCCAAAACGACCCCAAAUUGGGCUUUUCCGCCCCAAAAAUGACAUAGAUUCGCCCCAAUACACCCAAAAUCCCAAUGUUGGACCCCAAAGUCCCAAAGGCUGACCCCACUGAUGUUUCAGGAAGAACCCCAAUUUGACCCCAAACCCCAAAGUUUCACCCCAAAAUCCCCCCUAAACCCCCCGCUUCCCAAAAAGAACACCCAAACGACCCCAAAUUGGGCUUUUUCGCCCCAAAAGUGCCGUAGAUUCGCCCCAAUCCUCCCCAAAAUCCCAACGUGGGACCCCAAAUCUCUAAAUUUGACCAUAAAACCCCAAAAUUGACCCCAAACCCCAAAGCUUCAACCCAAAUCCCCCCUAAACCCCCCGUCCCUCCCAAAAGAACCCCAGAAAACCCCAAAUUGGGCUUUUUCACCCCAAAAGUGCCAUAGAUUUGCUCCAAUCCCCCCCAAAAUCCCGAUGUUGGACCCCAAAAUCCCAAAUGACCCCAGAAAUGACCCAAACUUGUACUUUUUCACCCCAAAACUUGCUUCAGGUUCGCCCCGAUACCUCCAAAGCCCCCCAGAUUGACCCAAAACCCCAAAGUCUCACCCCAAAAUCCCCCCAAAUAACCCCCAAAUUGACCCAAAACCCCAAAGUCUCACCC
ensembl:lncRNA